ACGGAAGGCAGCAGUGGGGAAUAUUGGGCAAUGGGCGCAAGCCUGACCCAGCAACGCCGCGUGAAGGAAGAAGGCUUUCGGGUUGUAAACUUCUUUUGUGAGGGACGAGUAGAAGACGGUACCUCAUGAAUAAGCCACGGCUAACUACGUGCCAGCAGCCGCGGUAAUACGGAGGGUGCGAGCGUUAUCCGGAUUUAUUGGGUUUAAAGGGUGCGCAGGCGGCACGUUAAGUCAGCGGUGAAAUGCAGGGGCUCAACCCCGGCACUGCCGUUGAAACUGGCGAGCUCGAGUACGGAUGAAGUCGGCGGAAUGUGAUGUGUAGCGGUGAAAUGCUUAGAUAUGUCACAGAACACCGAUUGCGAAGGCAGCUGACUAAUCCGCAACUGACGCUCAGGCACGAAAGCGUGGGGAUCGAACAGGAUUAGAUACCCUGUA
rnacentral:rRNA from 1 species